GACGAGGGGUCCUAGCGUUGUUCGGAAUCAUUGGGCGUAAAGCGUAUGUAGGCGGCUUUUCAAGUCAGAUGUGAAAUCCCAUGGCUUAACCAUGGAACUGCAUUUGAAACUGUAAAGCUUGAGUAUUGGAGAGGAUGGUAGAAUUCCUGGUGUAGUGGUGAAAUACGUAGAUAUCAGGAGGAAUACCGGUGGCGAAGGCGGCCAUCUGGCCGAAUACUGACGCUGAGAUACGAAAGUGUGGGGAUCAAACAGG
rnacentral:rRNA from 1 species